UACGAAGGGGGGCUAGCGUUGCUCGGAAUCACUGGGCGUAAAGCGCACGUAGGCGGCUUAUUAAGUCAGGGGUGAAAUCCUGGAGCUCAACUCCAGAACUGCCUUUGAUACUGAUGAGCUUGAGUUCGGGAGAGGUGAGUGGAACUGCGAGUGUAGAGGUGAAAUUCGUAGAUAUUCGCAAGAACACCAGUGGCGAAGGCGGCUCACUGGCCCGGUACUGACGCUGAGGUGCGAAAGCGUGGGAAGCAAACAGG
rnacentral:rRNA from 1 species